GAAGAGACGUUGCCUAUCUGUCUCCCUCCUCUUUUUGAUGAUAAACAGAGAACACGUGGCUUCAGCGGUAAUGCAGCCAAAUGAAUGCCAGAGCACAACGGGCGAAGGGAGAAAUAGAACUGAAAGAGACGAAGGCAAAAUGAUGGAGCUGAGGCGAAGGGAACGCAGUUUUUGAGGACCAAAUAUUGGACAACUAGCUAUUCAACUGCUCCUUGGCCAGUACGUGCAGACCAGUCAUGGACCUAGCAGACUCAGAUGACAAAAUUCUCCAAGCCAUGAGCACUGCUCGGCAGACACAAGGAGUUCCUUCAGGAGGUUAUGGAGUCUAUUCUAAACCUUUGCACUAACAUCAACUCAAUUGCCGGCAAGUUGACAUCCAAUGGUCCACCAUGGAUUUCAUCACCUACUCCAGCCCAGCCUCACACCUCCAAUCAGGGAAUGAUCUACUAA